UUUCAGGACCUUUACUUCAUAACUUCUGUCUAUAUGCUGCAGAACCCAGCACUUGGCUAUGCUCUGAGCUUGCUUGCAACUUAUGAUGAAGAACUCUUCUUCAGCAAGAUUUGAAAAAAGGAAAGGCUAUGGAAGCUCAUGUGAGUCCAGAUAUGAUGAUGGAACUCCCCAUGAGGAAAGGGUCGGAUCAGUCGUCUCCGUGACCUCAGCCCUCCAAUGACUGGAUGGAUGAGGACGGUAAAUGUCUGCUCUAAACCAGACAGCUAGACAUACACCUGUGUAGAAGAAAACCACCAGGAGGUGAAGAGCAGCUCAGGCUAGACAAGAGGAAGGUGUAUAUCUAAACAAUUGCUCUGUGUCAUCUCAAAUGAAUGAGGUCAUGCUGUGAAUGGCAGCUGCAGGACCUGGCCUGACUGACAUACAAUUGUAUAAAUGUGUGCAUUUGUCUCCUUAUCCUUUUUGUAUAGUUUACAAAAGUAUUAAUAUAGUUUUAAUAAGU
rnacentral:lncRNA from 1 species